rnacentral:rRNA from 1 species
GGAGUCUAGCAUGUGCGCGAGUCAUUGGGACAGCACUAAACCUAAAGGCGAAAUGAAAGUGAAAGCGCGCCUCGCGCGCGCUUAGGGAGGAUGGGCGACGCAUCGUCGUCGCUCCGCACUCCCGGGGCGUUUCGUUCUCAUUGCGAGGAGAGGCGCACCCAGAGCGUACACGCUGGGACCCGAAAGAUGGUGAACUAUGCCUGGUCAGGACGAAGUCAGGGGAAACCCUGAUGGAGGUCCGUAGCGAUUCUGACGUGCAAAUCGAUCGUCGGAACUGGGUAUAGGGGCGAAAGACUAAUCGAACCAUCUAGUAGCUGGUUCCCUCCGAAGUUUCCCUCAGGAUAGCUGGCGCUCGCUUUGCGAGUCUCAUCCGGUAAAGCGAAUGAUUAGAGGCAUUGGGGUCGAAACGGCCUCAACCUAUUCUCAAACUUUAAAUGGGUGAGAUCUCCGGCUUGCUUAAACGGUGAAGCCGCGAGAUCGGAUCAGAGUGCCAAGUGGGCCAUUUUUGGUAAGCAGAACUGGCGCUGUGGGAUGAACCAAACGUAGAGUUAAAGCGCCUAAAUCGACGCUUAUGGGAUACCAUGAAAGGCGUUGGUAACUUAAGACAGCAGGACGGUGGCCAUGGAAGUC